AGGUUGAACGCUAGCGGCAUGCCUAACACAUGCAAGUCGAACGGUAACAGGCCCUUCGGGUGCUGACGAGUGGCGGACGGGUGAGUAAUGCGUAGGAAUCUACCCACCGAGUGGGGGAGUAACGUAGGGAAACGUUACGCUAAUACCGCAUACGACCGAGAGGUGAAAGCGGGGGACCGGAAAGGACCUCGCGCAGCAGGAUGAGCCGAUGUCCGAUUAGCUAGUUGGUGGGGUAACGGCCUACCAAGGCGACGAUCGGUAGCUGGUCUGAGAGGAUGAUCAGCCACCACUGGGACUGAGACACGGCCCACGACUCCUACGGGAGGGCAGC
rnacentral:rRNA from 1 species